CUUGGCUCCGUUUUGCAGAACAAGAAAUUGAAUCCAAGAGCGAUAAGUGGCUUUUAAAAAAUUCAACUAAUGAGGAAGUGGUAGAGAUGAAAUGGAAGCCAGAGAGUUGAUCCUCACUGAAUGAGACAGAAUACAGACUGCUAACUGUUCAGCACUGCUCUUUUUUAUUACCUAUCAGGGAAAAUACAAGUUACAUUGUGGUAAAUUAAACAUUUCUUGGGGAGUUCCUGUUUGGCUCAGCAGUGAUGAACCUGAUUAGUGUCUAUGAGGAUGUGGGUUCAAUCCCUGGUCCCGGUCAGUGGGUUAGGGAUCCGGUGUUGCUGUGAGCUGUGGUGUAGGUUGCAGAUGUGGAUUGGAUCUGGCAGUGGCAAAGGCCACAGUGGAAGCUCCCAUUUGACUUCUUUCCUGGGACCCUCCAUAGGCUGUGGGUGCAGCCCUGAAAAGACAACAACAACAGAAGUGCAAAACUUUGCUUGGAUUUAACAUACUCACACCUGCAGUAGGCUUGUGGCCAUCUUUUGAAGAGGAAGAAUGUCUAAGGGCCCCCUAGAGAUUUGAAACCAUCAGGCAGAGCUUACUAGGCCAAUAUGGCUCUGGUGAAGACCACAACCAAAUGUUUGGUCUGGGGAUCAAUUGUCUUCAUUUGACUGUGGCCCAGAAUGGGGAUCUUCAGAUUGGCUAGAGUUGGAUCCCACCUAAGGUAUCCAUUAACCAUAUAACUCAUGUAAUCAAAAUCCACCCCUUUGAAAAUAAAAGGUCGGAGAAGGUAAUUCUGAACUUGCAAAUUGUCUUUGUUUGCUAUGCUGAAAACAUUGGACAUUUACAGAGCUUCCAAGUUGUACAGUUUUCUUUUUCUUCCUGGUCAUCACAUGCAAAUAAAAUAUAAAAGCAAAACCAAAUUCUUAGUGUCUUUCCUGAAAUAUGAUACAAUUUAGUGCCAUAGACGCUGAUUUUAUUUUUUUUUUGAGUCAUGGAACACAGAUCUUUAUUGCCUAGGUGAAUGAUGAGGGGAAAGAAAGAACAAUUGAGAAUCUGUGAUCACUUAAAGAUACAUAUUAGCCUGGGGUUUAACCUUCUACUGUAAAACAUUACUCAGAAGUGCAGUUUUUCACACAAAAAACCUGUAACUGCUUCUUUUUCUUUUCUUUCUUUCCUUUUUUAAAAUAUUCUCUGAGCUGUUUCCCCUCCUUUGGAGAUGCUGCCUGCUAAUGAGAUUGUUACAAGACAGUUUAGUGGUUGGAAGAAGUGUUGUAUAUAAACAGUAGAUGGGCAAAGGUGUGAAAAAAAAAAAAUAUCCGAAAAGGAAAGCACUGGAAAAUAGAAAGUGGAUGGCAGGAAGUGAGGUUCACAAGCACCAUAAUAUUUUUGAGGUGGAGCUCUGCGGCUACACGUGAUGGAAAAGCAUUCCCUGGAGACGCAUUUUUCAACACCUUUAGUCAGGAAAAACUACAGUGUAACAACAGCGUUUGUUGUGGAGGCAAACAGGAUUUGCCUCCACACUGCUUGUAGUAUAAUGUAAUAUUCUGUUUUAAUAUCAGUUGUGCAUUCUCUGUCUGCUUUUGGGCCUAGAAACUUACCCAGUGAUGACAAGGAAGAAGAAAGCAUUAUAGUACUUAGAUGGUGAAUGUGAUGACAGAAAUACACCAAGAAAUGCACUAGCUGUGAUGGGGUUUGAAAGAGGUUGAAGCAGUAGGAAUAAAGCGGAUGGCUCUUGUCUCUGAACUUUAGGUAGAGGGGCAUUUUAUCCUGAGGUUGGAUCUCAUGAACCAUUGAACAGUCACUUCUAUACCAAUCUGAACCACAAACUGUGUCGUAUAUUGUGUCAACAUCCUAGGUCAACCAGAUCUCUCAUAAAAUCAGUUAAAAAAUGGAAGAAAGUGGCCUGGCCAAAUCCACUGAAAAGUAAAAUCUUUUUUUGUUCAAGGAGCUGGUUUUCCUUCCAUUCCCUGGGGACGGGAGUGACUGCCCUUUGCACAAAACAAUCUUCUUGGCAUUCACCACAGGAGUUCCUCCCAGCACUGAAUAUUAUCCCCCUCUCAUCCUGGAAACCUUUUCUGCUGCCCUAUUCAGGCUCUUCACCAGGAUGAAGGACAAACUCGCUUCCUCAUGAGAACCUAAUAGACUCCUUUAUUAUGUCCAUUUUAUAUAUGAAAACGUUGAACCAUGGAUAGAUGAAAACUUACUUAAAAAUGGUAAAGAAGUCUCCAGGAAUAGGCUGCUGCGAUAAUAAAUGUAUUAGAAGAUGGAGAACAUUAUUAGAUCCAAGAAGUUUGACAGUGCUACAAUAAUAUAUAAUGUGCAGUCCACUUAAACAAGCAGGUGAAACCUGGAGACAAUAAAGUUUAUCCUUGAACUUGAUUAGGUACAAGUAUUCUUUUUCUGCUUUGAUUGGCUGUAAUAGAAAGAGUUGUUUCUUAGAUAUACUUUGUCACAUAUAAGUGAAAAAAGUGACCAUCAUUUUUUGCCUUUUUUUGGCGGGGGGGGGAGCUUCCUUUUUGGAAAACAGGCACGUAGAAUACCGAAUACUUGGUCACACCCGUGCGAGAGCAAAUUGGAUAGCUCUUCACUUAGGAAGAAGGACAUCAGCAGAAUUUCUCCAGGCUCCUCAUCCAGGUUGGCUGAGCAGUGGGGGUUUAAGAAAGUGAUCACCAUUUCCAAGUGAAGUUUUAAGGAGCACACUGGUUGAAGAUUUAGCUCAGAGUUCACAUUCCGGGAGGUGAAUUGAUUUUCUAUUUCACAAACGCUGGAAAUCAAUACAAUGCUUUGGUUGAAAAUAGCAAAUUGCAGACCUUUAUAGCAAUAAUGAAAGCCAGAAGUCAGUGUAAAGCCAUCUUUAAGAUGCCGAAAGAAGAAAAAAAGUUCAUCCAGAACCAUAUGUGCAGAGAAAGUGUCCUUCAAGAAUUAAAGCAUAAUAGAAACAUUUUCUUCAGAUAGAAUUUGUUGCCUACCCUAUAAGAAAUGUAAAUGAAAUUCUUCGAAAUGAAGAGAAAUCAUGCCAUAUGGAAAUUCAAAUCUUUAGGAAGGAGUGAACAGCACCAGAAGUGGUUUAUUGGAACAUAACCAACCGUAACAACACAUUCACAAACUGUCUAUGGCUGUUUUAACUCUGUGGAUAGAGUUGAAUAGAUGCAACAGAGUCUACAAAACCAAAGAUGUGUACUCUCUGGUUCUUUGCAGGAAAAUCUUUCUAGAUCCCUAGAAAUUCUAGAAGAAUUUAAGUAUCACUGUAAUUAUUGAUUAAUUAAUGCUUGUUAAGUGUUCAUGUAAUAAUAACAAUUGGGCUGAUUGCUAAUUCCGUGUCUUGUUUUCUUUCUGUUUAUGCAUUUCUAUGUAUGCUACAGUAGAAAAUAGAUAUAUUGAUAUAUUCUUUAAUAUCUGAAUGUCUUCUUUAUCUUCUCAUCUGAUUAAUUUGUUUUAUUUUCUAAAUAUUCUGAAAUUUGGUUUUGAUUUUUUGGCCUAAGAUGUAAGCAGUUUUUAAAAGUUUAGACAGUAAAGGUUUUCCCCCUACUUUUUACUUGAAGUUAUAAUUUUAUGGCUUUAUGAGAAAACUUUUACAAAUAAAUAUUUUUAUAGUUCAAUAGUUAAUGAAGGUUUCCUUAUGCUCUAAUAUAAUCUGAAUGUUCCAAGGGUCCUUGAAAAAUACGUGUACUCUUCAUUUGUGAAGAAUAUAAUUUUUAUAUGCAUAUUAGCUUGACUACAUAUUAUCAACUUGUUAUUUACAUUUUCUGUAUCCUUACUUAUCUUUCUACAUUGACCAGUCUUUUGUGGAAAAGAAGAAGUGCAUUAAAACUUCCCAUUACUCUUUGUAUUUUAUGUCAGCUUUUAAAUGGAAUUUUGAUUAUAUGUUAGUUGGUUAAUAAAUAAUAAUAACUAUUAUAUGUGUAUUGUGGAAUGUAACAUUUAUGGCUCUAAAGUAUUCUUCUUAAUUCAUUAGUUCCUUUCACCCUGAAUUCAACAUUGCUUGAUAUAAAGAUUACCACUCUUGCUUACAGGAACUAUUUUGAAUACACUUUUAUUUUCAACUUUGUUUAUAAUUUUAUUUUAUGACUUUGAAUGCUUUUGCAUAUAACAUAAUAUUAAAUAUAAUACUGAUUCUUUUGUUCUUACAAGUAAAAUAAUUUACUUUGUGAUUCAAUUGGAUGUUUCCUUUAUUUAACUGUGUAAGUUUAACCAUCUAACAAUUAUGAUACUGCAGAUUUGUUUAGUCAUAGAAGUACAUUUUAUUCUAUGCAUUCUGUUUUGAUUGCAUUUUUAGUUCUUAUAUCAUCCUUUAUGUGUUUUAUGUGGUCUGUCAUUUGGUUUGGGUGACUGUAUUUAUCCAAAUAAUUUGGAAAGCUUGAUGUUUUGCUUUAGUAAUCAUUCUCAUAAAUCUACCAAGAGAAAGUGUCACCUUUUAUUAUAAUCAAUUAUUAAAAUGAUUGUAUUUCUGGGUCUUCCACAUUUCUCCUCAACCAACUGAUUUUAAUAGAUAUACUCCUUACUUUAGUGAUUACUUCUAAACCUUUAACCACAGACAUAACAAUAAUUAGUUUAUUUAUCCGUUUAAAAUCAUGCUGUUUCCUUAUAGCUAUAGAAGUUGAGGAUAUCGGCAACAUCUUUUCCUUUCUUCUCUAGAUAUUUUAAUCAUAUUAUUUCUACUCUUUCAAAGUAAAUAAAGAUUUGCUUUAUUAUUUUGCUUCAUCUCUGAGUGUGUAUAUAUAUACGUAUAGAAUAACAUCUGAGUGUUUUUGUGUACAGUUAUGUGUAUAUUUAUAUAGAUAGAUAGUAUGAUAUAUGUAAUAUAAUGUUUAAUACAUAUAUUAUGAAUAUGGAAUACUAAUCAUACUCACGUCACAGAAAUUUUAUAACAUUUUAGAACAGUGCCUGAUAUUUACUAAAAGCUUGAUAUUAGCUUUUCAUUACUAUUUUAUUGUUAAUCACAUUACUUACUUUACUUGAGGGCUGUUCAUAGAGCUAUGGGAGCUUACUGGCAUUUCCAUAUGUCGUUCAGAUGGUUGAAGAUGGUCCUUCAAUUUAUUUGCAAAGGACUCAUAGAAACCAUAAUUCUUGAUGUGUUGUAUGUAUGUCAGUUGCUUUUAUUCUUGAAUGGUUGCUUGAAUGGCAUCAGAUUCUUUAAGGACUCUGUGCGUGCCAUUCGCUGACUGAUCUGAUUUAAUGUUGCUAUGGAGAUGGUUCAAGUCAGGGUGGUUAUUUUUCAUUAGAGUAGUAACUUGAUCUCUUAGCCUUGGUGUUCCCCAAAAUUUGUUCUACAUAUUUGCAUUAUAGAUGUAGACUUAUUUUCAUAAAUUCUUUUGUAUUUUUGUAAUUUCAGGGAUGUUUUCUUGGAUUUUAUCUUUAAAUAUAUUUUUAAAUAGAUCUUGCAAUUUUAGUGUUCUUCAUUAAAAGCAUCAUCUUUAGUUUUUAAAGAUACUUGCAAUAUCUUUACAUUACUUUUAUAAAUAUCAUCUUUUCCUUUAUUUUUGACUUUGUUCAUUUCAAUUUCAUUCUGCUUAUUGCUUUUCACAGCCCAUGUCAGGUGUUCAGUGGUAUUUUUUUUCUCCCUCUAGUGCUUCCAAGAUGUUUUUCUACAUCUUACAAAUCUGCUUUAAGCUCUUAUUUUAGGACAGCAUUUAGUUCAUGGAAUUUAGUUACUAAGUGUUUAUAGCUCAUGAUGAUAUACUUGUCACAAUUUCGACCCAUUAUACAGAGAUUGCUCUUUGUCAUUUACUAUUCCUUUUUCUUAUUCCUGUAAUAUGUUUUAGGUGGGUAGCUUUUUGAUCACUGCACAUCUUGGAAUAAGUAAACUUUCUCCUAGACCAACUAUUUUCAGGAGGCUUGUGGAAAUAAGGGCAAGAGCUAUGUUUUAAGCUAGCAGAAAUUCUUUUAGGAAGUACGGUUUGACAUGAGUGAAGUUAGCGCUCUUCUUCCCAACAUCUCAAAUUGGUAGAAUAGGCAGUUGCUCUUCAUGCAGAGUAUAGCUACUCUUACUUUAUUGGCAGACUGCCUCCCACAGGACUUAUCUGCAUGAUGUCUCCUACUGGCUCCUUUCUUUUAUCCUCUUUAUUCCACAUGGUUUCAGGGGAGCCUCCGCCACACACCUGCUCAAUUCUUUCCAUUCUUCAGGUGAUGAUUUUUGCCUUGUAAGCUUUCUCAAGAUCUGCAUCUGGUGCUCUCCCAGCUUCUUCAGCACCCUUGGGUGACCUUCACUUCCUCUGGCUACACUUUCCUUAUAGCUUGUUCUUUGGUAUGAGAGACGUCUCUUGGUUUCUUUAGAUGUGAAUGUAGGCCCUGUCUUUUGUCCUCAUGGAUAUAGGGCCAAUAUCACCUUUACCAUCACAGGAAAAUCCUAAGAGCAAUAUUUUUGCUGUCACUAAUUACUAAUCCUGGGAACCAGUUUUGAUGUUUGCAUGUCACCCUGUGAAAGCAGUAUUUCCUUUUCCCUGUCACUGUGAACAGUCAAGCUUCGUCAUUUUCACUUUUCUCAGUCAUAUAAUGCAUUAAAGAAAAUGAUUGCCUCAUUAAUCCUUAAACAGUCAGCUCCAGUUCCACCUUCUCUUCCUUUCCUGCCAUAGGACCUCUGCCAGGGGAGAAACUCCCUCCUCUUGCCCUUCUUCCCCACUGGUCCAGCUAUUUAUACUCUGCAUGCAAUAUUUAUAAGAUAAAAUGUCAGCAGAUUUUGGUCUACUCACCCUGUAAAAAAUAUCACGAAAGACUGGACAAAUACCUUCCCAGGCCCUUUCAUGCCUGGCAGCAUUGGUGUUGUCUGAGAUACACUUCUACUCUUUUCCUUUUCCAAAGUGUCCCUAUCUUUCAAAGCUCACCAAACAUCCUGUCUUUUUAAAAAGAGAUGACUUUUUCUCUGACUGCCAAGCACACAGAGAAGGCUCUCUUCUCUGAAUUCUUCAAUUCCUUCUUUCCUUUCUUCUGUGGCGGUAUGUGUGGGAAUCAAAACGUGUUUGGAGACAGACUGCAUGCAUUUUAAGGAUAAGUUCUGUAAUUUCCCAACUGGGUAACCUUGAAGACUAGACUCUCAGUGUCCCAACCUACAGUAAGGGACAAUUAUCCUACAUGUUUUUAAUUAUAAUAAUAAGAAAAUUUACCUUAUAGGAUUUUUAUUAACUUAAUUAAAUUAACAAAUGUUGCUAGAUAGUGAGCAUUAUGUAAGUGCUAAUAUUAUUUACAAAUAUGUAUUUUUCAACAGUGAUGCAUUUGGCACUUAUAUAUACCAUACUAAACUCAGUAUAU